rnacentral:rRNA from 1 species
UACGGAGGGGGCUAGCGUUGUUCGGAAUUACUGGGCGUAAAGCGCACGUAGGCGGACUGUUAAGUCGGGGGUGAAAUCCUGGGGCUCAACCUCAGAAUUGCCUCCGAUACUGGCAGUCUCGAGUGCGGGAGAGGUGAGUGGAAUUCCCAGUGUAGAGGUGAAAUUCGUAGAUAUUGGGAAGAACACCAGUGGCGAAGGCGGACUCACUGGCCCGUAACUGACGCUGAGGUGUGAAAGCGUGGGGAGCAACAGGG